rnacentral:lncRNA from 1 species
AGAGGGAGAGGGAUUGAACACACACAUUUAGAUAGGUGGACAUGUGCAAGUGGUAAAUGAAUGAUCCCGAGGCACAAAUGAAGUCCUCGUUAUCGGAUUGCACAUGGUUGGAAAAUGAUGAGUAUGAUAUAACAAUGGUAACUUUGUCGAGCCAAUCAUGAUGCUUCAGAAGAUGAGGAGUUUAUUCUUUCUUUUCUUCUUUUCUUAUUUUUCUUCGUUCUUUCUUUUUUCUCAUUCUUUUUUUCUUUAUUAUUUUUCUCUUUUUUUCUUUUUCUUUCUUUUCUCCUCAAAUUCUAGCAUAACAAAUCUUGAUCCAAUCAGCAGCUGUUAGGGAUAGAUAGUGCACUGACUCUCCCAAUGCUUGAACGAUGCUCGUCCUCAAGCAUGAAAAGUGAGUAAAAUUUUGCUACUGAUGGGUAUAGAAAUGGCCUCUGAAAAAUUUAAUCAUACUCAUCUUAAUAGAUUGUGGUCAAGCAGGUAGUCACAAAAAUGAUAAUUUG